AGAGUUUGAUCCUGGCUCAGAUUGAACGCUGGCGGCAUGCCUUACACAUGCAAGUCGAACGGUAACAGGGAGCUUGCUCUGCUGACGAGUGGCGAACGGGUGAGUAAUAUAUCGGAACGUGCCCUGGAGUGGGGGAUAACUAGUCGAAAGAUUAGCUAAUACCGCAUACGAUCUCAGGAUGAAAGUGGGGGAUUCGCAAGGACCUCAUGCUCGUGGAGCGGCCGAUAUCUGAUUAGCUAGUUGGUAGGGUAAAAGCCUACCAAGGCAUCGAUCAGUAGCUGGUCUGAGAGGACGACCAGCCACACUGGGACUGAGACACAGCCCAGACUCCUACGGGAGGCAGCAGUGGGGAAUUUUGGACAAUGGGCGCAAGCCUGAUCCAGCAAUGCCGCGUGAGUGAAGAAGGCCUUCGGGUUGUAAAGCUCUUUUGUCAGGGAAGAAACGGUUUGGCUUAAUACGCUGAGCUAAUGACGGUACCUGAAGAAUAAGCACCGGCUAACUACGUGCCAGCAGCCGCGGUAAUACGUAGGGUGCAAGCGUUAAUCGGAAUUACUGGGCGUAAAGCGUGCGCAGGCGGUUAUGUAAGACAGAUGUGAAAUGCCCGGGCUUAACCUGGGAACUGCAUUUGUGACUGCAUGGCUAGAGUGUGUCAGAGGGGGGUAGAAUUCCACGUGUAGCAGUGAAAUGCGUAGAUAUGUGGAGGAAUACCGAUGGCGAAGGCAGCCCCCUGGGAUAACACUGACGCUCAUGCACGAAAGCGUGGGGAGCAAACAGGAUUAGAUACCCUGGUAGUCCACGCCCUAAACGAUGUCUACUAGUUGUCGGGUCUUAAUUGACUUGGUAACGCAGCUAACGCGUGAAGUAGACCGCCUGGGGAGUACGGUCGCAAGAUUAAAACUCAAAGGAAUUGACGGGGACCCGCACAAGCGGUGGAUGAUGUGGAUUAAUUCGAUGCAACGCGAAAAACCUUACCUACCCUUGACAUGUCAGAGAGCUCGAAGAGAUUUGAGUGUGCUCGAAAGAGAAUCUGAACACAGGUGCUGCAUGGCUGUCGUCAGCUCGUGUCGUGAGAUGUUGGGUUAAGUCCCGCAACGAGCGCAACCCUUGUCAUUAGUUGCUACGAAAGGGCACUCUAAUGAGACUGCCGGUGACAAACCGGAGGAAGGUGGGGAUGACGUCAAGUCCUCAUGGCCCUUAUGGGUAGGGCUUCACACGUCAUACAAUGGUACAUACAGAGGGCUGCCAACCCGCGAGGGGGAGCUAAUCCCAGAAAGUGUAUCGUAGUCCGGAUUGGAGUCUGCAACUCGACUCCAUGAAGUUGGAAUCGCUAGUAAUCGCGGAUCAGCAUGUCGCGGUGAAUACGUUCCCGGGUCUUGUACACACCGCCCGUCACACCAUGGGAGCGGGUUUUACCAGAAGUAGGUAGCCUAACCGCAAGGAGGGCGCUUACCACGGUAGGAUUCGUGACUGGGGUGAAGUCGUAACAAGGUA
rnacentral:rRNA from 1 species